rnacentral:rRNA from 1 species
GGGUAACCUGCCCAAGAGAUCGGGAUAACACCUGGAAACAGAUGCUAAUACCGGAUAACAACAGAUGAUGCCUAUCAACUGUUUAAAAGAUGGUUCUGCUAUCACUCUUGGAUGGACCUGCGGUGCAUUAGCUAGUUGGUAGGGUAACGGCCUACCAAGGCGAUGAUGCAUAGCCGAGUUGAGAGACUGAUCGGCCACAUUGGGACUGAGACACGGCCCAAACUCCUACGGGAGGCAGCAGGU